UACGGAGGAUCCGAGCGUUAUCCGGAUUUAUUGGGUUUAAAGGGAGCGUAGGUGGAUUGUUAAGUCAGUUGUGAAAGUUUGCGGCUCAACCGUAAAAUUGCAGUUGAAACUGGCAGUCUUGAGUACAGUAGAGGUGGGCGGAACUCGUGGUGUAGCGGUGAAAUGCUUAGAUAUCACGAAGAACUCCGAUUGCGAAGGCAGCUCACUGGACUGCAACUGACACUGAGGCUCGAAAGUGUGGGUAUCAAACAGG
rnacentral:rRNA from 1 species